UACCUGGUUGAUCCUGCCAGUAGUCAUAUGCUUGUCUCAAAGAUUAAGCCAUGCAAGUCUAAGUACGAGCUCUCGUACAGUGAAACUGCGAAUGGCUCAUUAAAUCAGUUAUGGUUCAUUUGAUCGUACAGUUUACUUGGAUAACUGUGGUAAUUCUAGAGCUAAUACAUGCGAGAAGCGCCGACCUCGCGGGAGGCGUGCAUUUAUCAGACCAAAAACCGGCCGCGUCUUCGGGCGCGUUCGCCUUGGUGACUCUGGAUAACUUUGCGGAUCGCACGGUCUAGCACCGGCGACGGAUCAUUCAAGUGUCUGCCCUAUCAACUUUCGUCGGUACGGUAUUUGCCUACCGAGGUUCUUACGGGUGACGGGGAAUCAGGGUUCGAUUCCGGAGAGGGAGCCUGAGAAACGGCUACCACAUCCAAGGAAGGCAGCAGGCGCGCAAAUUACCCAUUCCCGACGCGGGGAGGUAGUGACGAAAAAUAACAAUGCAGGACUCGUUCGAGGCCCUGUAAUUGGAAUGAGUACACUUUAAAAGCUUUAACGAGUAUCCAUUGGAGGGCAAGUCUGGUGCCAGCAGCCGCGGAUUCAGCUCCAAAGUAUAUAUUUAAGUUGUUGCGGUUAAAAAGCUCGUAGUUGGAUUUUGGGCGCAGGCGGCCGGUCCCGUCGCAAGGCGUGUACUGGACGUCCUGGCCCUUCCCUCCGGUUCUCCGCCGGUGCUCUUGACUGAGUGUCGGCGGCGGCCGGAACGUUUACUUUGAAAAAAUUAGAGUGUUCAAAGCAGGCUCUCGAGCCUGGAUAAUGGUGCAUGGAAUAAUGGAAUAGGACCUCGGUUCUAUUUUGUUGGUUUUCGGAGCGCGAGGUAAUGAUUAAGAGGGACAGACGGGUAAGUCGUCGUGGUGGGUGAUAAACCAUGACGCGAAGCCGGGGAAGUCCCCCCGGCGCAGGGCCACCAGUAUGGAGACGACGAACGGAAAGUACAACCGGUCAAGAAAUAAAGCUGUUGCCAAACAGAAGGUAUGGAUUGUCAUGGAUUUGAUAUCUUUUAGAUUUUUUUAGUAAAAAUUUAUGAAUAUUGUUUUGGUAAAAUUUUUAAAUUUCAUUUUUCAUCAUUUUUGGAUAAAAUUUUUUAAUUUUGUUUUGGUUCAAAU
rfam:Ciona savignyi cont_59876, whole genome shotgun sequence.